GCCCAUCUAGUGUAAUGGAAACACGACCUGAUAGUGUCACACCAGCCCCUUCGCCACCUUUACUGCGUGGUAGGAAUAAGCCUGACGAGAUCAUCAAGGGUUUCUUGGUUCAAAUCCAAGGAUGGGCA